UCUUCCUCUUCUAGCUUCUUUUAAAAGCUUCUAAAGCUUCUGUAUCAGAAUCAAGAUUAUCUUGAUUCCUUUGCAUUCUUACAGUCUUUCAUGGUAUCGGAGCAAGAUCUCGCUCCUACUGCUUCCGCCUUAUCCUUUUUCUUCAUCCUUUGAUUUUUUUUCUUCCCUCUUAAAAAUGGCUGAUUCAGAAACGCCAUUUUCUAAACAUGCUGAAUCACCUUUGACAAUCAAUGAUGAAAUCUCGUUAACAAAUAAUCCUGAAAUUCCAGUUCAAAGCAAUAUGAAUUUCAAUUUUGAUGAUCCUUAUUUUCUUUCUUCUUCUGACAUUUCACAACAUUCUAUUGUUGCUCUUCUUUUUUCGGGUUCUAACUAUGUCAACUGGAGUAGAUCUGUGAAGAUGGCUUUAUAUGCAAGAAAUAAGGUGAGUUUUAUUGAUGGAUCUCUUUUUAAACCGUCUGUUUCUUCCUCUGAUUUCAAGAAAUGGAUCCGAAAUGAUUACAUUGUAAGAUCUUGGAUCAUCAAUUCCAUGGAAAGAGGUAUUGCAGAAACUUUUAUGUUUGUUGAUUCAGCUUAUCAAUUGUGGAAGGAAGUUAAAGAUAGAUAUGGUCAAAGCAAUGUGCCUCAAUUGUUUGAUCUACACAGAUCUCUUUUUCUUAUUGAACAGAAAGAUUCUUCCAUUAAUGAAUAUUAUGCUAAAAAAAAGAGAAUAUGGGAUGAAAUUCAUGACCUAGAAGGCUUUCCUGAUUGUUCUUGUGGUAUUCUUGCUAAUUGUUCUUGUGGAAUUCUUACAAAAAUUUAGAUGCUGACAAUAGAAUGAAGUUAAUUCAAUUUCUUUCCGGCAUCAACCCAGCCUAUGAUCAAGUUAAAACAAACAUUCUUAGUACUGAUCCUUUACCUAACAUCAAUAAAGUAUAUCACAUUUUACAAUCUGUUGAGAGACAACAUCAGAAUAACCUUUAUACAAGUCAUUCAAAUGAUAUUAGUGCUUUUGCUGCUCAUCAACUCAAACCUGAUAAUUCUGCUGGUAUGAGGAAGGAUUCCAAGAAAACUAAGUUUGAAAGAGUAUGUGAGCAUUGUAAAGGCAAAGGUCACACGAUUGAUCAAUGUUUCAAGCUUAUAGGCUAUCCUGAGUGGUAUACAAACAAGAAAGGUAAAUCUGUUUCUAGAACAGCUGCAAAUGUUCAAGUUGAUAAUUCUGGAAUUCUUGGGUCUAUUCCUUGUUCUAGUUCCUCUGGAAAGAUGUCUUCUCCUGUUAUUGAUCCUCAAAUGCUAUUUGUUGUAUGCAAGGAAGUUAUUAAAUGCAUGAAUCAAUCUUCUAUAUCUACUGAUCCUCUUACUUCUUCCUAUACAAAUGUGAACUCUGCAGGACCUUACAACUAAUGAGGUCAAAGCCACUGCUAUGAGAACAUCAGGCUUAUAUCUUUUGUCUUCUUCAGUUUCUUCAUCUCAUAUUUCCCCUAAUAAUUUUGUUGUUAAUACAGCAUGUUCUUCUUCUAGUCUUGAUUUACUUCAUGCAAGAUUAGGCCAUGUUUCUUUUUCUACUAUGAAA